rnacentral:rRNA from 1 species
AUUGAACGCUGGCGGAAUGCUUUACACAUGCAAGUCGAACGGCAGCACGGGGCAACCUGGUGGCGAGUGGCGAACGGGUGAGUAAUAUAUCGGAACGUGCCCAGUCGUGGGGGAUAACUAGCCGAGAGGUUAGCUAAUACCGCAUACGACCGAGAGGUGAAAGCGGGGGACCGCAAGGCCUCGCGCGAUUGGAUGAGCCGACGUCGGAUUAGCUAGUUGGCGGGGUAAAGGCCCACCAAGGCGACGAUCCGUAGCUGGUCUGAGAGGAUGAUCAGCCACACUGGAACUGAGACACGGUCCAGACUCCUACGGGAGGCAGCAGUGGGGAAUAUUGGACAAUGGGCGCAAGCCUGAUCCAGCAAUGCCGCGUGUGUGAAGAAGGCCUUCGGGUUGUAAAGCACUUUUAUCAGGAACGAAAGCGUUGGAUUAAUACUCUGACGUGCUGACGGUACCUGAGGAAUAAGCACCGGCUAACUUCGUGCCAGCAGACCG